rnacentral:rRNA from 1 species
UACGUAGGGGGCAAGCGUUGUCCGGAAUUAUUGGGCGUAAAGAGCGUGUAGGCGGUUCAGUAAGUCCUCUGUGAAAGCCCAGGGCUCAACCCUGGAAUGCCGGUGGAUACUGCUGGACUAGAGUCCGGAAGAGGCGAGUGGAAUUCCUGGUGUAGCGGUGAAAUGCGCAGAUAUCAGGAGGAACACCAAUAGCGAAGGCAGCUCGCUGGGACGGUACUGACGCUGAGACGCGAAAGCGUGGGGAGCAAACAGG